AUGCAGCCACAGCCGUGGAGCCUUCAGUGUGCAGAGAACACAGGCCAUGAGGGCAGAAGCUUCCAGAACAAGAGUGACGCUGCUCCAGCAGAGCUCUCAGGAGGGCAGGGCCAUGAGAAACAAGCGGGAGACCAGGAGGCCAUGAGGCUCUGCAUGUGGAUCCCUGGACUGAGGCCACCGAGCCGUCCACAUGGACUGAACAUGCUGCACGGGGCCGUCGGGCUCACUCAGGAAGCCUGGGCACAGGAGGGUACCGGGUGCACAGAAACCUGGCGGGAAGGGCUGCAGGCCUGCUGCACUUGCCAGCAGCCAUGAGGUUCUCGUGGAACAGAAGGAAUGAAGACCUCCUGGACUGCAGAGUCCUCAGGGGGGCCUUCGACCUGCAAAAGCCUCACAGGAGUGCGAGGGGUCCCAGCUC
rnacentral:lncRNA from 1 species